AGAGUUUGAUCAUGGCUCAGGAUGAACGCUAGCGGCAGGCUUAAUACAUGCAAGUCGAGGGGCAGCAUGGUGUAGCAAUACACUGAUGGCGACCGGCAAACGGGUGCGGAACACGUACGCAACCUUCCUUUAAGUGUGGGAUAGCCCAGGGAAACUUGGAGUAAUACCACGUAAGAUGGUGGUCUGGCAUCAGACAGCCAUAAAAGCUCCGGCGCUUAAAGAUGGGCGUGCGUCUGAUUAGGUAGUUGGCGGGGUAACGGCCCACCAAGCCUUCGAUCAGUAACUGGUGUGAGAGCACGACCAGUCACACGGGCACUGAGACACGGGCCCGACUCCUACGGGAGGCAGCAGUAAGGAAUAUUGGUCAAUGGACGCAAGUCUGAACCAGCCAUGCCGCGUGAAGGAUGAAGGUCCUCUGGAUUGUAAACUUCUUUUAUAUGGGACGAAACCUCCGGAUUCUUCUGGAAUUGACGGUACCAUAGGAAUAAGCACCGGCUAACUCCGUGCCAGCCGCCGCGGUAAUAC
rnacentral:rRNA from 1 species